rnacentral:rRNA from 1 species
UGUUCUUUAAAUAGGGACUCGUAUCAACGGCACCACGAGGGUUAUACUGUCUCCUCUCUCCAAUCAGUGAAACUGAUCUCCCCGUGAAGAAGCGGGGAUUCAAUUAUAAGACGAGAAGACCCCAUGGAGCUUUAAACCCAAUUUGCACCCCUACCACCCCAAACAUCAACCAAACCUCAGGGACCUGUACAUUGGUUUUAGGUUGGGGGGACCACGGAGCAAAAUAAAACCUCCAUAACAAAUGGGCUAACACCCUUACCUGCGAUUUACAAAUCCAAGAAUCAUUAAAAUGAUGUUUAAUGACCCAAUAAGUUGAUCAAUGAACCAAGUUACCCUGGGGAUAACAGCGCAAUCCACUCCAAGAGCCCGUAUCGACAAGUGGGUAUACGACCUCGAUGUUGGAUCAGGGUAUCCCAGUGGUGCAGCCGCUA